CCUGGGGUAGCUCCAAUAGGAUAGAGCAACCGGCUUGCCGGAAGGUUGAGGGUUCAACUCCCUCCCCCAGUACCA
rnacentral:tRNA from 1 species